UAGGGAAUCUUUGGCAAUGGAUGAAAGUCUGACCGAGCAACGCCGCGUGUGUGAAGAAGGUUUUCGGUUCGUAAAACUCUGUUGUUAGAGAAGAACAAGGACGUUAGUAACUGAACGUCCCCUGACGGUAUCUAACCAGAAAGCCACGGCUAACUACGUGCCAGCAGCCGCGGUAAUACGUAGGUGGCAAGCGUUGUCCGGAUUUAUUGGGCGUAAAGCGAGCGCAGGCGGUUUCUUAAGUCUGAUGUGAAAGCCCCCGGCUCAACCGGGGAGGGUCAUUGGAAACUGGGAGACUUGAGUGCAGAAGAGGAGAGUGGAAUUCCAUGUGUAGCGGUGAAAUGCGUAGAUGUAUGGAGAAACACCAGUGGCGAAGGCGGCUCUCUGGUCUGUAACUGACGCUGAGGCUCGAAAGCGUGGGGAGCAAACAGG
rnacentral:rRNA from 1 species